rnacentral:tRNA from 2 species
UUCCUCAGUAGCUCAGUGGUAGAGCGAUCGACUGUUAAUCGAUUGGUCACUGGUUCGAAUCCAGUCUGGGGAGU